rnacentral:rRNA from 1 species
ACGCACGCUGGCGGCGUGCUUAACCCAUGCAAGUCGCACGGAAAGGCCCUGCUUUUGUGGGGUGCUCGAGUGGCGAACGGGUGAGUAACACGUGAGUAACCUGCCCUUGACUUUGGGAUAACUUCAGGAAACUGGGGCUAAUACCGGAUAGGAGCUCCUGCUGCAUGGUGGGGGUUGGAAAGUUUCGGCGGUUGGGGAUGGGCUCGCGGCUUAUCAGCUUGUUGGUGGGGUAGUGGCUUACCAAGGCUUUGACGGGUAGCCGGCCUGAGAGGGUGACCGGCCACAUUGGGACUGAGAUACGGCCCAGACUCCUACGGGAGGCAGCAGUGGGGAAUAUUGCACAAUGGGCGGAAGCCUGAUGCAGCAACGCCGCGUGCGGGAUGACGGCCUUCGGGUUGUAAACCGCUUUCGCCUGUGACGAAGCGUGAGUGACGGUAAUGGGUAAAGAAGCACCGGCUAACUACGUG